rnacentral:rRNA from 1 species
GGCGAGUGAAGCGGGAAGAGCUCAGGUUGAAAAUCCCUCGGGAGUUGUAACCUGUAGGCCCAAUACUGCAGCUGACGCGGGUGCAAGUCCUCGUGAACGAGGCGCCGGAGAGGGUGAUAGCCCCGUACCGCCCGCGAACGCGUUACAGCAUGGUGCCGACGAGUCGGGAUGCUUGGGAAUGCAUCCCUAAGUGGGUGGUAAGUCCCAUCUAAAGCUAAAUACGGGCAAGAGACCGAUAGCGAACAA